rnacentral:rRNA from 1 species
UACGGAGGGAGCUAGCGUUAUUCGGAAUUACUGGGCGUAAAGCGCACGUAGGCGGCUUGGUAAGUUAGAGGUGAAAGCCUGAAGCUCAACUUCAGAAUUGCCUUUAAGACUGCAUCGCUUGAAUCCAGGAGAGGUGAGUGGAAUUCCGAGUGUAGAGGUGAAAUUCGUAGAUAUUCGGAAGAACACCAGUGGCGAAGGCGGCUCACUGGACUGGUAUUGACGCUGAGGUGCGAAAGCGUGGGGAGCAAACAGG